GUGCCAGCAGCCGCGGUAAUACGUAGGUGGCAAGCGUUAUCCGGAAUUAUUGGGCGUAAAGCGCGCGCAGGCGGUUUUUUAAGUCUGAUGUGAAAGCCCACGGCUCAACCGUGGAGGGUCAUUGGAAACUGGAAAACUUGAGUGCAGAAGAGGAAAGUGGAAUUCCAUGUGUAGCGGUGAAAUGCGCAGAGAUAUGGAGGAACACCAGUGGCGAAGGCGACUUUCUGGUCUGUAACUGACGCUGAUGUGCGAAAGCGUGGGGAUCAAACAGGAUUAGAUAC
rnacentral:rRNA from 1 species